rnacentral:misc_RNA from 1 species
GAUGAAGAACGCAGCGAAAUGCGAUAAGUAAUGUGAAUUACAGAAUUCAGUGAAUCAUCGAAUCUUUGAACGCACAUUGCGCCCCUUGGUAUUCCGGGGGGCAUGCCUGUUCGAGCGUCAUUAUAACCCUCAAGCCUAGCUUGGUGUUGGGGCCUGCUGUAGAGCAGCCCUUAAAAUCAGUGGCGGUGCCUUCCGGCUCUAAGCGUAGUAAACUCCUCGCUCUAGUGCCCGGGUGGUAUCUUGCCAGCAACCCUAAUUUCUAUGGUUGACCUCGGAUCAGGUAGGGAUACCCGCUGAACUUAAGCAUAUCAAUAAGCGGAGGA